UUGCAGGUGGUGAUUGUCAUUUUUCCGAAAUGAUGAUGCCGAGGGGAACGGUCUGCGCAAUGCCGUUUUCCCGCCAUUCUUGCAA
rfam:Chlorobium limicola DSM 245, complete genome.